rnacentral:rRNA from 1 species
AACCUGGUUGAUCCUGCCAGAAUCAUAUGCUUGUCCCGAAGCUUAAGCCAUGCAUGUCUCCGAAUAACUAGUAGCUUGAUCCCGAAUCUGCGAACGGCUCCGUAUAUCUGUUGUAACCCGCCUCCGCCCAGGACCCCUCGGCAUAACCACGGUAAUUCUGUGGCUAAUACGUGUAACACCGGCCCCCCGCCCCUGGCGGGGGUCAGCCGGACUCGCCGCGCACCCGGGUUCACCCGCGUGAGAGCUGGCGAGCGUGCCUUACCGGGGGAGGUAAGCCCCUGGAGCGUGAGACGGGCUUCAGACCUAUCAACUAGAUGGCCAGGGAUAGCCUGGCCACGGUUAUUACGGGUACAGAGGAUCAGGGUUCGGUCCUGGAGAGGUAGCCUGAGAGAUCGCUACUACUUCUAAGGAAGGCAGCAGGCGCGCAACGUUCCCAAUGGGGAUACCCUGAGGACGUGAAGGGACAUACCAAUGCCCGGCCCUUAAAGCCGGGCAAUUGGAAUGGGGGACCUCUAAACCCCACACCGAGUAACAAUUGGAGGACAAGUCUGGUGCCAGCACCCGCGGUAAUUCCAGCUCCAAUAGCAUCUAAUUAAGUUGUUGCAGUUAAAACGCUCGUAGUCCAAACUGGUGCGCCCCGGUCCCGCUCCGUACCGGCCAGGCGGACCCUCCCCCCCGCAAGGGGCGGGAGGCCCCUGGUUCGGGAUAAGCGGGGUUGGGCCACUAGACGCCGGGAGGCCAACCGAACGAGGCUUUAGUGCCGUCGCCGGUUCUCCUGGCACCUUACUUUGAACAAACGUGAGCGCUCCAAGCAGGCCAUCCGUGGCCCUUUAAACCCGCAGCAAAGAAUAACAGAAUAGGGACUCUCCCUAUUGCCUGCUGGUUAGGCGGAGUUAAUGAUCUAUAGGGGAGAUCGGGGCGAGCCACAUGGCGGGGGUAGGGGUGAAAUCCGUUGAUCCUCGCCAGGUGAACUAGAGCGAAAGCAGCUCGCAAGUACUCAUCCUUUGAUCAAGAACGAAAGUCUGGGGAUCGAAGAUGAUCAGAUACCAUCGUAGUCCAGACCCUAAAUCAUGCCGGCCAUGGAUGGGCACUCGUCCAUCCCGACCCUGCCCGCACCUUGUGGGAAACCAUAAGCGUCUGGGCUCCGGGGGGAGUAUGGUCGCAAGACUGAAACUUAAAGGAAUUGACGGAAGAGCACACAAGGAGUGGAGCCUGCGGCUUAAUUUGACUCAACACGGGGAAACUCACUAGGGCAGGAGGGGGGUAAGAUGGACAGCCGAUCAGGGCUUUCCCGAUUCUUCCAGUGGUGGUGCAUGGUCGUUCUUAGUUCGUGGAUUGAUUUGUCUGGUCUAUUCCGCUAACGAGCGAGAACCCGCCCUUUCGAGGUUAGGCGGGAGGACACGCCAGCGGCCCCCCCGGGGGCCGCAGGCUGAAAACGUCCCAGUGUUCGGUCAGGAGGGACCGGUACCGUUAAGGUGCCGGCAGCGGGUCAAUAACAGGUCAGUGAUGCCCUUAGAUGCUCUAGGCCGCACGCGCGCUACAAUGGGGCGAGUACCGGGCUCCCUGUGCCGAAAGGCGGCGGGGAAUCCGGGAAAGCGCCCCGUAUCCGGGAUAGCGCCGUGUAACUCGGCGCUCGAACAAGGAAUUUCUAGUAGUCGUGGGUCACCAGCCCGCGACGAUUCUGUCCCUG